rnacentral:misc_RNA from 2 species
AACGCACAUUGCGCCCCUUGGUAUUCCGGGGGGCAUGCCUGUUCGAGCGUCAUUACACCCCUCAAGCCUCGCUUGGUGUUGGGGAUCGCGGUUCGUCCGCGUCCUCCGAAUUGACCGGCUGGCCGUAUCGUCUCUCAGCGUUGUGCAAACUCUCGCUCACAGAGUCCGGUGCGGUUUCACGCCGUUAAACCCUCAUCAAAGGUUGACCUCGGAUCAGGUAGGGAUACCCGCUGAACUUAA